rnacentral:rRNA from 1 species
UACGGAGGAUGCAAGCGUUAUCCGGAUUUAUUGGGUUUAAAGGGUGCGCAGGUUGUUUGAUAAGUCAGUGGUGAAAGUCUGUCGCUUAACGGUAGGAUUGCCAUUGAUACUGUUGGACUUGAAUAUGGAUGAGGUAGGCGGAAUGUGUAGUGUAGCGGUGAAAUGCAUAGAUAUUACACAGAACACCGAUUGCGAAGGCAGCUUACUGGGAUGCAACUGACGCUGAGGCACGAAAGCGUGGGUAUCAAACA